GAUGAACGCUGGCGGCGUGCCUAAUACAUGCAAGUCGAGCGAACAGACGAGGAGCUUGCUCCUCUGACGUUAGCGGCGGACGGGUGAGUAACACGUGGAUAACCUACCUAUAAGACUGGGAUCACUUCGGGAAACCGGCGCUAAUACCGGAUAAUAUAUUGAACCGCAUGGUUCAAUAGUGAAAGACGGUUUUGCUGUCACUUAUAGAUGGAUCCGCGCCGCAUUAGCUAGUUGGUAAGUUAACGGCUUACCAAGGCGACGAUGCGUAGCCGACCUGAGAGGGUGGUCGGCCACACGGGAACUGAGACACGGACCAGGCGCCUACGGGAGGCAGCAGUAGGGAAUCUUCCGCAAUGGGCGAAAGCCUGACGGAGCAACGCCGCGUGAGUGAUGAAGGUCUUCGGAUCGUAAAACUCUGUUAUUAGGGAAGAACAAAUGUGUAAGUAACUAUGCACGUCUUGACGGUACCUAAUCAGAAAGCAACGGCUAACUACGUG
rnacentral:rRNA from 1 species